AGUCGAACGGCAGCGGGCCCUUCGGGGUGCCGGCGAGUGGCGAACGGGUGAGUAAUGCAUCGGAACGUACCCGGGAGUGGGGGAUAACCGGCCGAAAGGCUGGCUAAUACCGCAUGAUCUCGGAAGAGCAAAGCGGGGGACCUUCGGGCCUCGCGCUCUCGGAGCGGCCGAUGUCCGAUUAGCUAGUUGGUGAGGUAAAGGCUCACCAAGGCGACGAUCGGUAGCGGGUCUGAGAGGACGAUCCGCCACACUGGGACUGAGACACGGCCCAGACUCCUACGGGAGGCAGCAGUGGGGAAUCUUGGACAAUGGGCGCAAGCCUGAUCCAGCAAUGCCGCGUGGGUGAAGAAGGCCUUCGGGUUGUAAAGCCCUUUCGGUGGGGAAGAAAUCGGCCGGGCGAAUAGUCCGGUCGGAUGACGGUACCCGCAGAAGAAGCACCGGCUAACUACGUGCCAGCAGCCGCGGUAAUACGUAGGGUGCGAGCGUUAAUCGGAAUUACUGGGCGUAAAGGGUGCGCAGGCGGUUCUGUAAGACCGGUGUGAAAUCCCCGGGCUCAACCUGGGAAUUGCGCUGGUGACUGCAGGGCUAGAGUACGGUAGAGGGGGGUGGAAUUCCUGGUGUAGCAGUGAAAUGCGUAGAGAUCAGGAGGAACACCGAUGGCGAAGGCAGCCCCCUGGGCCUGUACUGACGCUCAUGCACGAAAGCGUGG
rnacentral:rRNA from 1 species